rnacentral:lncRNA from 1 species
UUGUAUCACUGUUGUAAACCCGUCUGUUUCUGUAAAUAGAUUCCCCCUGACUAACUAGCUAUUUGACACUUUGAUGUGUACUUUAUAGACAUUAUGCAUCCAGUGUGCAGAUGAAGACCCAAUAUCACCAGAGUCAAUUUAUAUACCAGUCCCAUAUCCAUUUAACAUGUCUUUCAUGAAGAAAGUAGCUAAGAAAAUUGACAAGUGAAUAACUGUUACUAGGUUCCAAUGGUUUCAAUAGGCUUAGGAACGAGAAAGACCCUAAAAAUUAACAUGAAAAAACGAGAGUAUAUAGAAUACCAGUAACCAACCAUGAAACUAGUCAACAAGCAGCUUAUAUAGGAGUCACAAGCAGAAUCCUGGCACAGUGCAUAAAGGAGCAUAAAAAUAAUAUAAUGAAUGCCAAAUUAACAAUGGCACUGACAGCAAACACCUAUACUACUGAUCUGACAGUUCAUUGCGAUCAGGCAAGGGUCAUAAAAUUGCUGAUUAACAAAUCCCAGGCCCUUAACAUGGAAACUAUUGAAAUAUUAAAAAGAUAUGAGACAGAACUUCUCGUCAGUGAACACCCAGCCUCCCAAGUGCUGCAAGCAUGGAAUUACCUAUUGCAGAAAUCUGAAAAGAACUUUUAAGAAUAGAUACUACACUCACACUACCUCAAAGGCACCAGAUUAAGUCCUAUAUUGAAAAAUUGACUGCUUUGCUAAUUUAAGGACUUUAAUUCACAUUAUAUUGUUAUAUUUUUUAUUGCAUUU